ensembl:lncRNA
CACAUUCACUGCUUUAUCCAAAGUUAAAUCUUGCUCACGCAGGAAUCUCUCCUUGAGACCAUUAUCAAGUAUGCCACAGACUAUCCUGUCUAUCACUAGUGAGUCUUUCAGAUUUUUUAAUUCACAUGUUUUGCUCAGUGUUCAGCUCAGCCAAAUACUGGUCAAAACUGACUCCCUGUUUCUGAACGAGAGAAAAACUUGUAUCUCUCAAAGGUGACGUUCUGGCUUGGUACAAAGUACUCCUCUAAUGUAUCCAUUAGCACAAUGUCAAGUUUGCCUCGUCUUGCUAAAAGCGAUUGUAAAUGUCCAAUGCAUCCUCUCCAAUAACAUGCAGAAAAAUGGAAGCUUUCAAAUUGCCAUCUCCCCCUGCACCACUUGCCGCUAGGUAGAUAUUGAAUCUCUGCUUGAAACGUUAUUAUUAUCAGCUAGAUAGCCUGUUAACUGCAUAGGAGUAGGAGGACUAAGCCUAUCCAUGAUGGAGAACAGGAACAGUGUCAAUUUCUCUUACUUUCAGUAUGUUGCUCAUCAACUUGCUCGUCAACAGAGUCCAAUGCAGCCUCGCUCUCACUGCUGUCACUCUCGCUGCUGCGGCUCGUUGCCCUCGCUCUUGCAAGCUGGCAUCUUCGACUACUCGCGUCACUUGACUUGUGGUAGAAUGUUAUAUUUUCAUUGCGGAAAUUUGCAGAGUUACUCCUUUCUUAUCUGUCUUGUCAUAGCGACUAUCAAUCUGACACCAUGUUAUGUUUGUUCCUUGUAUAAUGACAAACCGGGACGUGGGUUUAACUACUUUUAAUGAACAUAGAAAACCCAUGUUUAGCCAUGCAAGGCAUUCUUCAACCCCCUGCCCCCCGCAUAGCCUGCUGGGACCGUUGCCUGGCACUGCUGGCAGCACCCGCAGCACCCACGUCGUCCCGAGCACAGCUGCACCUGUGCUGCAGUGCACGCUAUCCAAUCGUAGCAGCAGGACCAACCUACUGUCUGUCACGAGAAUUUUCAAUUCCAAUGAUGACUAACACUUAUUUAAGCUUUGACCAAUCCCCGAGGUUUGUAAGACCCUGGGUUUAAUAAUAAUUAGGCAGACUCAGCUUAUGCAAAAGGUCUGUAAAGUUUACUCGAGA